GUAUUUGAAUGGAAAGAAAUAUUCAAUAGCUUCCCAAGCUACUGACGUGGGUUCGAUUCCCAUCGCCCGCUCCA
rnacentral:tRNA from 1 species